ACACACACACACACACACACACUAAUGUACAGGACACACAACACAAUAAGCAUACAGUAAUUCUCAGUCAACACACAAUCAUGAUUGCCAACCAACACACCCUCAAUCCCUCAACAGAUGGACCCAACAACUGUUGAAACAUUUGAUUACAAAUCCGUUCCAACAGAUUUCUCAAGCUGAAUAAACCAUGAAUCAUUUUGCCAUUUAUUUUAGAGUUGUUUUUAAACUAGUGGUUGACGCAUAAUAACUAAAUGAUCGUUUCUUUGACUUUGAACAUUUUGCAGAGCAAAGAAGAGACAACUAUUGGACGUCUGUUUAAAAGAGCACUGGCUAAAGACCAUGACAAGAGGUUAAGGGUAAAGGCUUUCAACUCAGAGACGGACAACUUCAAGCUGCCGUACGGGGGCCACCAGUACCACGCCAGCUGUGCCAAUUUCUGGAUUAACUGCGUGGAGCCCAAACCGCCGGGCCUCAUUCUGCCCGACCUGCUCUGAACUGCAGACAACCGCUGCCAUGGCAACGGGCGCCAGGUAAUCAACACCGGCGAGGUGCAACAGCCGGGCUCCCCACCGCACACCUCACACCUUGGGCUGCGAAUACAGAGAUCACAGAGAGACCUCAGAAGUCACUGGAAUCAUCUUUAUUUAUUUGCCUUUUAUUCUCUCUCUUUCUCUCUCAGAGGUACUCUGUGCUCUUUGCAGCGGUGAAGAAGUGCAAAUCUGCUAGUUUGUACAAAUUCAAGGCUUGACACAGUAAAGACUAUUCUGUAUCAUAAUGUAUUGUAAAAUUAUACUUUAUAAAUGGUGUCAUUUUCUCAUUUUUCCUUCUUUUUUUUCCAUUGUCUGGUCUCAUAUACAGUAUAAUGCAAUAGAAGUUACAAGUUGGCAUUUUAGCAUUGAUGCUUAUGCGACUUCUCUGGCAGGAUUUAUUUUGGCAAACAUUAUUCAGAUAAUGAACCAAUGUUGUGCUACGGUAACCCAGAGGAGGUCUAGUCCCUAUGUCAGAGCAGGGGAAAAUGUGGACACUUAUAUGAAUGGGGUAAUGGGUCUCAACGUUUUCUGUAAUGCACUCUUUCUGUGACUCAACAAGUCCAUAACAAACUAUUAAAACUGUGCAAUAUACUACUAAUGAAGGAACUUGGAGACAAACUGAAGUGUAAAGUUAUCUGUCGUUUCCCUUGAUUGUCACUUGUUGCUUUGUUACUGUUUAAUGCUUGAGGGACUGUGUUGGUGUUUCGGUCUUAAAGUAGUAUUUUGUCCUUUGUUCUUCUCGAGUCGGGGUUGUGGUAUCAUCACACUGCUGGAACUGAAUCAAUUUUACGGUCGGGUCUCUAAAAGGAUAGUCUAUGGUUGCUAACAUUUUAAUUCAUAUUUAACUUUUUAGGUAUUGUGUGACAUUAACUGCUUUUUAAUGUCUUUGUAUUGUUUGAAAAGGAUUGCUUUAUCUAAAUGAAUGUUAAUGUGCUGUUUGAAUUUUUUUGUGACAUUGGGACUUGAAAGGGAGUCUUAAUUCUUAAAGAUUGUUGGCUGUGGGUUUUGUUUUUCUGUCUUGCUGUGCCAGUGUAUAUAUACUCACACUGAUGGGGAUGUUUUGGCAGAUCUAAGUCUUGAAUGAAGUCAACUAUGAUUAUGGACUACUAUUGCAGCAGCACUUUGUGUGGAUUACAGUAUCAUAGUGUUGUAAUUACAAUGACUAACUGUAAUGUGAAGUGAUGACAUAUACAUAAAUAAUACAUUGAUGCAUAAAUUAAAUACAUUUCAUGGUCAUUAAUCAAUUAAUCAAUGAAUGUAUUACCUGGAAGCCUAUUACCAUACACAUUAAUUAAGAGUAUUGUACAAUUCUGCUGAAUUUGGUUUUGUUUUCAAUAUUUUCUGAAUAUAAUCAAGGUUGGUUUGAAUGUCAACAUGAAUCCUGAAGGCAUUCUAUUGUCUCAAUAGCACGAGUCGUUUAAUCUGGAUGACAUCUGUAACAAAGUCAGGUUCAGAGUCUAAUGCAGCAAUAUCAUAUUAGCACUACUUCUCCUAAAAUGCCAAAUGGUUUGAGAUUGUCACGUCUUUCAUUUUUCACUCAAUAACAUGUUAUUUCUCAGACCAGGGAGGUUUCAUCUCUAUCACUUUGUGACCAAAUGAAAUACAUUAACCUCAGACAAGCCUGCUGGGCCAUCGCUGGAGGACGGAGAGCUAAGACAAUCAAAUGAAAAACAUGCCUGUAGUGGCACCAUGCAUGGAACCAGUCUCAUUAUCAUUCUGUCUCGUGUGUACAGGACAGGUGUGUGUGUUCUCCAACAUACAUUUUUAUCUCUCACCAUUCCCUAAUUGAACAUCCUGCUGAAAAUGAAUUCCUCUCUCCGUCUUCUCACCGUGAGCUGCCAGAUUACUGAAAAUUACAAAUGCUCAAAUUACUGAAUAAUAAGGCUUUGUAAAUUUGAAAUUCAGACCCACCCGUCUGUCCCCAUGUCCUGUCUUCUUCAUGCCUAGUAUUGUCUGCAGGGCUGUGCCUCGUAGGAUCACCUGAGGAGAAUGGGUCUGGAGAGAUGGGAGUGCUACCCUACUGUAUUGACUGCUAUUCUUCAGCCACAGGCUCUUUCAGAUUUUCUGCCCAUUGUCAGUUACAGUAUUGAUUAAAGGCAGAUUUUUUUGCUCACCUGACUCACCUUUUUUUUCUUUAGAAUUCAUACAAACAUCCUAUCGGUCAUGAAAGCUAGUGUUCACAGCCUAAUCUGGGUGAUAUUUCAGACUGAGCUGUAGUUUUGCUGAUUUAAAAAGGCUUGAGGCUUGAAUGACUUGAGAUCUGUGAAGAUUUUCACUUGAGUGUCCAAGAUCUUGUACUUUGAAAUGAAGGAUUUGAAACCCC
rnacentral:lncRNA from 1 species